rnacentral:rRNA from 1 species
UACGUAGGGGGCAAGCGUUGUCCGGAAUCAUUGGGCGUAAAGCGCGUGUAGGCGGCCAAGUAAGUCCGUUCUGAAAGCCCGGGGCUCAACCCCGGGAGGCGGAUGGAUACUGCUUGGCUCGAGUCCGGAAGAGGCGAGUGGAAUUCCCGGUGUAGCGGUGAAAUGCGCAGAUAUCGGGAGGAACACCAAUGGCGAAGGCAGCUCGCUGGGACGGUACUGACGCUGAGACGCGAAAGCGUGGGUAGCAAACGGG